rnacentral:sRNA from 14 species
CGAGACUGAAGGCGGCUCGGUUGAAGGGAACAAUGACCGCGAACAAAGAUCUCCCAUCUCUCUCU